UGAAGUUGUUUAGAAUUUCAAAAUUCUGUUUCUAAUAGUAAUGUCGGACAACCACUGGUGCGCGUUCUGAAUGAACUCAUUAUGCAUAGUACCACGAGCCCAUACACCAUUUCAAUUCAACAGUGCUGCCUAUUCACGAAAUACUACAGCGUCUGAAGUCGAUUCUAAAAGCCAAAAGGCUUAAGCGCAAAUAGGUGCGUCGAAAUAAUGAAUGAAAAAGAUUUAUCUGCAAGAAGAGAAGUCUUCGACAAUUGAUAUAUUCGACACGAAUUGAGGAAGUUCAAAUGCAGACAGACGGGACACGAUGUCAAGAUUUUUGACAGGGGCACGAAACAGCGGGGUGCACGUGUAGAUCGAAACCAGACUCUGCGAUAAUAAACUACAAAUACUAUUUUUAUAAAGGAGUCGUUACACAUGUAUCAACCGAAUUGAAAUAUUCUGAGAACUUUCCUGACAACCUAUCCUAAUUUUCUCUUAUAGGAAGAACUAAUAAUAAGUACAAGAAAGGUUCAAAGUUGCUAAAUCCAUUUUAUGAAAAAUAUUUCAAAUAAGAAUUUUCUUAUUCACUUAUGAUAUAACUUCAGGACAAAUUGUAAAAACCAAAAUAAACUAAAAAAAAAAAAACAUAAUAUAUACCAAAUAAUUUUUCAUGCUAAUAAUGCUUCGCUUUAAUAUGCUAUAUGAUUAAUAAUAUACUUACGACAUAGAGUAAAUUCGAAUAAUACAGAACAUACCAAGGUCAUAUUUUAA